AGAGUUUGAUCCUGGCUCAGGAUGAACGCUAGCUACAGGCUUAACACAUGCAAGUCGAGGGGCAGCAUGAUUGAAGCUUGCUUCAAUCGAUGGCGACCGGCGCACGGGUGAGUAACACGUAUCCAACCUGCCGAUAACUCGGGGAUAGCCUUUCGAAAGAAAGAUUAAUACCCGAUAGCAUAGUUUUUCCGCAUGGUUUCACUAUUAAAGAAUUUCGGUUAUCGAUGGGGAUGCGUUCCAUUAGAUAGUUGGCGGGGUAACGGCCCACCAAGUCAACGAUGGAUAGGGGUUCUGAGAGGAAGGUCCCCCACAUUGGAACUGAGACACGGUCCAAACUCCUACGGGAGGCAGCAGUGAGGAAUAUUGGUCAAUGGACGAGAGUCUGAACCAGCCAAGUAGCGUGAAGGAUGACUGCCCUAUGGGUUGUAAACUUCUUUUAUACGGGAAUAAAGUGGAGUAUGCAUACUCCUUUGUAUGUACCGUAUGAAUAAGGAUCGGCUAACUCCGUGCCAGCAGCCGCGGUAAUACGGAGGAUCCGAGCGUUAUCCGGAUUUAUUGGGUUUAAAGGGAGCGUAGGCGGGUGCUUAAGUCAGUUGUGAAAGUUUGCGGCUCAACCGUAAAAUUGCAGUUGAUACUGGGCGCCUUGAGUGCAGCAUAGGUAGGCGGAAUUCGUGGUGUAGCGGUGAAAUGCUUAGAUAUCACGAAGAACUCCGAUUGCGAAGGCAGCUUACUGGACUGUAACUGACGCUGAUGCUCGAAAGUGUGGGUAUCAAACAGGAUUAGAUACCCUGGUAGUCCACACAGUAAACGAUGAAUACUCGCUGUUGGCGAUACACAGUCAGCGGCCAAGCGAAAGCAUUAAGUAUUCCACCUGGGGAGUACGCCGGCAACGGUGAAACUCAAAGGAAUUGACGGGGGCCCGCACAAGCGGAGGAACAUGUGGUUUAAUUCGAUGAUACGCGAGGAACCUUACCCGGGUUUGAACGUAGUCUGACCGGAGUGGAAACACUCUUUCUAGCAAUAGCAGAUUACGAGGUGCUGCAUGGUUGUCGUCAGCUCGUGCCGUGAGGUGACGGCUUAAGUGCCAUAACGAGCGCAACCCUUAUCACUAGUUACUAACAGGUGAAGCUGAGGACUCUGGUGAGACUGCCAGCGUAAGCUGUGAGGAAGGUGGGGAUGACGUCAAAUCAGCACGGCCCUUACAUCCGGGGCGACACACGUGUUACAAUGGCAUGGACAAAGGGCAGCUACCUGGUGACAGGAUGCUAAUCUCCAAACCACGUCUCAGUUCGGAUCGGAGUCUGCAACUCGACUCCGUGAAGCUGGAUUCGCUAGUAAUCGCGCAUCAGCCAUGGCGCGGUGAACACGUUCCCGGGCCUUGUACUCACCGCCCGUCA
rnacentral:rRNA from 1 species